AAAACACACACCAUCAUAAUAAUACAUACUUGAGUCUCUGUGUUAUAUUUGUCCAAAACAAUAUUGCAAAUAUGACCAUCAGACAUCACAAAUCUGUCUGGGUAUAAUAAAGGCAUGAAAUGAGACACUAAACCCCCACAAGCAUGACUGUGCAAAUGAAUAAACCCCUACAAGCAUGACUGUGCAAAUGAAUAAACCCCCACAAGCAUGACUGUGCUAAACCCCCACAAGCAUGACUGUGCAAAUGAAUAAACCCCCACAAGCAUGACCGUGCAAAUGAAUAAAAUCUGAUGACCAUAACUCAGAGGACUGUCCAUUCAACUUUUACAACAAAGUGCCUGUUCACAGGGCUUGGACUUUGUGUUCAGUGUGACUACAGUAGCGGUUCCCUGUUGGACCGUGGCCUGGUGUCACUGUUACCCGACUACACUGCCCCAACCAUUAAUGUCCCUUUCCUCCAUCUUUCCUUUUGUGCUGUUUGCUCUUGCUGCGGUUUGCACUGUGAUUAGGGCCCACUGUGAUUAGGUGUGAUUAGGGCCCACUGUGAUUAGGUGUGAUUAGGGCCCACUGUGAUUAGGUGUGAUUAGGUGUGAUUAGGGCCCACUGUGACAGGAGGACAUCACAUGUGUUAUUGCUCUCUUCAUGCAGCCCAGCUCCUGUCUGUGAUCAUGUGCAUGGAGGUCUUAUAUAUUCUGGAUAAGACUGCAGUGUGCCCGUUGGCUGUUGCGUCUACAUGUUUUAAAGUGCACAUCACUCUUCU